UGGGGAAUAUUGCACAAUGGGCGCAAGCCUGAUGCAGCCAUGCCGCGUGUAUGAAGAAGGCCUUCGGGUUGUAAAGUACUUUCAGCGAGGAGGAAGGCAUUGUGGUUAAUAACCGCAGUGAUUGACGUUACUCGCAGAAGAAGCACCGGCUAACUCCGUGCCAGCAGCCGCGGUAAUACGGAGGGUGCAAGCGUUAAUCGGAAUUACUGGGCGUAAAGCGCACGCAGGCGGUCUGUCAAGUCGGAUGUGAAAUCCCCGGGCUCAACCUGGGAACUGCAUCCGAAACUGGCAGGCUAGAGUCUUGUAGUGGGGGGUAGAAUUCCAGGUGUAGCGGUGAAAUGCGUAGAGAUCUGGAGGAAUACCGGUGGCGAAGGCGGCCCCCUGGACAAAGACUGACGCUCAGGUGCGAAAGCGUGGGGAGCAAACA
rnacentral:rRNA from 1 species